AACAAAUUAAGCAAAGACUGAAUAAAUCAAGAUAUAAACCUAAUAAUUUUUGCGGACAUUUCUAAAAUACGAAACAAAAUGUACACUUAAAGAAUCAAAAUGAUGCAAUGAUUCUAAUAUCACAAUGGGGAGCUACUCAACACUGAUAUCCUCAAAACAUCACGCGGAUUGCUGGAUUCUUUCCCUGUUGUUUCACCCUAACGUCACUUCCUCAAUCGAGGAAUCAGGUAUAUGACACAGUAGAAACUCAUUGGGUUGCAAUGCAAACAGAAUCCUUUCGUGUGGAACUUAACUUACCUUCACAAUCAAACCUCAUAUGUCGGAUGUUGCUCUACAGUACUGAUUAUGGCACCUUGUGAUUGCUCCUUCAGUUAAGAAAACGGACAUGGGAGUAUCUUUUUUUCUUUGCAGGGAAUUGUUAUUAGGUUCAUCAAACUCCAUAAAGUGGUAACAACAUUUUCACAAAGGAGUACGCCAAUGCACCCGUAAAUAUGUAGCUGUCCACCCUGUCCAGUAUUCCUCCGUGUCCAGGAAUGAGAGAUCCUGAGUCUUUCACACCCGCAUCACGUUUGAU
rnacentral:misc_RNA from 1 species